rnacentral:RNase_P_RNA from 1 species
GCGGAGGGGCGGACGGCCGCUUGGGGGUAACCCCGAGAGGAAAGUCCGGACUCACCAAGGCGCCGGUGCCGGGUAACGCCCGGGCAGGGCAACCUGACGGACAGCGCCACAGAAAACAAACCGCCGUGCCGCCCGGACCUGUCCGGGGGAUCGGUGCGGUAAGGGUGAAACGGUGGGGUAAGAGCCCACCGGGGGGAUGGCAACAUCGCCCGCAUGGCAAGCCCCACCGGGAGCAAUGCCUAAUAGGGAUCUCGCGCCCGUCUGAUGCCGCUUGCGGCAUAUCGGGGCAGGGCGGCUUUGGCCCGAGAGAUCCGGGUUGGCAGCUAGAGCCACGUGGCAACAUGUGGCCCAGAGGAAUGGUCGUCUGAGGGCGGGGCAACCCGUCGUAUAACAGAAUCCGGCUUACAGGCCCUCCGCGCAC